AUGGUGAAACCGCGAAUGGCUCAUUAAAUCAGCUAUGGUUCCUUAGAUCUUACAUCCUUACUUGGAUAACUGUAGUAAUUCUAGAGCUAAUACAUGCCAUGAAUCCCUGCCUUUACAGGAAGGGUGGAUUUAUUAGAACAAAACCAACCGGCCUCGGCCGUUGGCUUGAUGACUCUGGAUAACUUUUCUGAUCGCACGGCCAAGCGCCAGCGACGUAUCUUUCAAAUGUCUGCCCUAUCAACUAACGAUGGUAGGUGAUAUGCCUACCAUGGUGAUGACGGGUAACGGGGAAUCAGGGUUCGAUUCCGGAGAGGGAGCCUUAGAAACGGCUACCACAUCUAAGGAAGGCAGCAGGCGCGCAAAUUACCCACUCUCAGCUCGAGGAGGUAGUGACGAAAAAUAACGAUAUGAGACUCGUUUGAGGCCUCAUAAUUGGAAUGAGUACAAUUUAAAUCCUUUAACGAGGAACGAUUGGAGGGCAAGUCUGGUGCCAGCAGCCGCGGUAACUCCAGCUCCAAUAGCAUAUAU
rnacentral:rRNA from 1 species